UGUGGACCACAUAUGUGCAGUGCUCACGA
rnacentral:piRNA from 1 species